rnacentral:rRNA from 1 species
UGAGGAAUAUUGGACAAUGGUCGCAAGACUGAUCCAGCCAUGCCGCGUGCAGGAAGACUGCCCUAUGGGUUGUAAACUGCUUUUGUAUGGGAAGAAUAAGAGCUACGUGUAGCUUGAUGACGGUACCAUACGAAUAAGCAUCGGCUAACUCCGUGCCAGCAGCCGCGGUAAUACGGAGGAUGCAAGCGUUAUCCGGAAUCAUUGGGUUUAAAGGGUCCGUAGGCGGACCAAUAAGUCAGGGGUGAAAGUCUGCAGCUCAACUGUAGAAUUGCCUUUGAUACUGUUGGUCUUGAAUGUGUAGGAAGUGGCUGGAAUGAGUAGUGUAGCGGUGAAAUGCAUAGAUAUUACUCAGAACACCAAUUGCGAAGGCAGGUCACUACUACACCAUUGACGCUGAUGGACGAAAGCGUGGGGAGCGAACAGG